rnacentral:rRNA from 1 species
UACGUAGGGGGCAAGCGUUAUCCGGAUUUACUGGGUGCAAAGGGAGCGUAGACGGCAUAGCAAGUCUGAAGUGAAAGCCCGUGGCUCAACCGCGGAACUGCUUUGGAAACUGUUAAGCUGGAGUACUGGAGAGGCAAGCGGAAUUCCUAGUGUAGCGGUGAAAUGCGUAGAUAUUAGGAGGAACACCAGUGGCGAAGGCGGCUUGCUGGACAGAGACUGACGUUGAGGCUCGAAAGCGUGGGGAGCAAACAGG